rnacentral:rRNA from 1 species
UACGUAGGGUGCGAGCGUUGCCCGGAUUUAUUGGGCGUAAAGGGCGCGUAGGCGGCUCUGCACGUCCGUUGUGAAAUCGCCCGGCUCAACUGGGCGGGGUCAGCGGAUACGGCGGAGCUUGAGCAAGCUAGGGGGCAAUGGAAUUCCCGGUGUAGUGGUGGAAUGCGUAGAUAUCUGGAGGAACACCAGUGGCGAAGGCGGUUGCCUGGGGCUUUGCUGACGCUGAUGCGCGAAAGCUAGGGGAGCAAACAGG